rnacentral:rRNA from 1 species
GACGAACGCUGGCGGCGUGCUUAACACAUGCAAGUCGAACGGACAGGCCCUGCUCUUGUGCGGUGGUCGAGUGGCGAAGGGGUGAGUAACACGCGAGUAACCUGUACCUGUCUUUGGGAUAACUUCAGGAAACAGGGGCUCAUAUCGGAUAGGAGCUACUGCUGCAUGGUGGGCGUUGGUAAGUUUCGGUGGUUGGGGGUGGACUCGCGGCUUAUCAGCUUGUUGGUGGGGUAGUGGCUUACCAAGGCUAUGACGGGUAGCCGGCCUGAGAGGGGGACCGGCCACAUUGGGACUGAGAUACGGCCCAGACUCCUACGGGACGCAACAGUGGAGAAGAUUGCACAGUGGGCGGAAGCCAGAGGCAACAACGCCGCGUGCGGGAUGACGUCCUUCGGGUAGGAAACCACUUUCGCCUGUUACGAGGCGUUAGUGACGGUAAUGGAUAAAGAAGCACCGGCUAACUACGUG